GGGGCGGGCUUUGAGUGUUGCGCUAUGGAAAAAUCGAUGGGGAUACUGUAAUAAUGUGAGGGCUGCUUUAUGGAAACAGGUGCUGUCCAGUUAUUGAAAACAUGAUCUAGCCGAAAGGAUCGCCAAGGGAGGAAAGAAGACAUGCGUUGAGGUAAGCUAUCAGGCUAAAUCAUAGUUUUAUUCUAGGAAUUACUGAGACGUGUUGCCAAUUUCAGUAGCCUAAUGCAAACGAUGUUGUAACGACACAUUUAUCUAAUGCAAUGUGUUAUCACAAACAUCUAUAAACAAAUCUGAUAUAGCCUAUAAUAUAGUGAUUGUGGAUAUGGUCCUCUUAAAAUGCUCUUCGCCGUCAAAUAAAUAUGAAAGUGCCAAUUUAGUAAACGUUACAUAUAGUGGAGGUAGUAAACUAAUCUAAUACAAUUACCAUUCUCAAUUAUAAUCGACAGGUAAAUAGUUACAUUUGUCUGCGUCAGAGCGAGUGCUAUUGUGACAAACGCAAUGGAAUCCGGUGGGAAUUGUAGCCUACCCCGCAGAUACGGGAAACCCCUCAGAAACAUAGCAUGAAGCCGAUUACUUAAUAUAGGCUAUUUGUUCUGGAUAGAGGAAUGUUAGGCAGGCUAAAACUGUUUGCGACGAGAUGGCGUGUGAAGCGGGGAUUGGGAAUAGGAUGCUGCGCAAGAGAUGGAUGUGCGUAAAUAGCGAGGAGGAUGUUACGCACUUGCACUUAAUAUUGGCAUGAUCACUACUUAUUUCCUCAUGGCCGUUUAAAACAUCAUCAAACACAAUAAAGCCCAAUAAUAAAAUCAAGACAGAAAAUUAUCCAAAAAAGUACUUGUUUACAAAACAAGCUGUUACCGAUUAAAUUAAGUUACUGUAGACUAUAUAGUCAUGUUUAUAAUUAGUAAGUUCACGUUUAUAAAAGGACUAUGCGUGCUACUUACAUAAUAUAUUAAUAUGAAUCUUGUGACUUAUGUGAAUAAAGGCCAUACUGACAUAUUUGGUGUUGUGAUUGCAUGACAGUGCGCACUUGAUAUACCUAGAUGUAAACAAACCAAAACACCAUGUAGGCUACUUCCCAGGAGUGUAGGGGCGCUGUUGGGCAUAUUCACAUGACUUGACUUUUCUCCAUUCGUGGCAAUGCAUUAUCAUCUCCAGCUCUAGUAUAUAGGCUUCAUAUUAAGUAGAUAUUUUUGGAACAUAUUACAAUAAUUUACAGACAGAAUAAUCAACUGAAGGGGCCUAAAUGAGCUCAGUUUUAAAUUGUGAAAAAUAAGAGAAGCUAACCCCCUGGAUUUCUCCUAUUCUGUAUUGGCAUGACAGGAUGUACAAAUAACGUUAAGUCAGUGAGCAGGCUUGCCUCGUUUCUAUUGGGAACAUAAUUAAAUGUACACCUGCCAGAGAAAGCCUUUUUCACAAUAGGUGCUCGACACAACUGUUUGUGAUGCCACUUAUUGUUGACAGUCAAACCACAACCCACUGGGCAAAAACUGGUUGAAUCAAUGUUGUUUCCAUGUCAUUUCAACCCCAACAUUUUAUAUGACAACGUUGAAUCAACAUGAAAAACUGAUUGGAUUUGAAAAAAAGUAAUCAACGUAAAUGGAAUUUAGUAUUUUUUUCUCUUAACUUUUAACCUAAAUCCAAUGACCUAGUGACAUUUUUUGUUAAUUUAAUGUUGAAUUCAUGUUAGCUGACAACUCAACCAAUUGUAAAUUUGAACUAGAUGAACUGACAUCUGUGUCCAGUGGGAAGCUUCCCAGCCCUGGCUAAUGACCUUAAUUAUCGAUGUCUAGGUCCAUCCCAUUGCUUCACCCUGGGGGGCAGGUCAUGAAACUCCACAGGUGAAAAUGAUUCACAGUACAGGACCAUCACUGAUCGCCCCCACCAAGUAGAUCUGCCCAGUCACUAAAAAGAGUCUGUCAGUAUGCUAGUAUGUCAAAAAGAAAGGUGCAUUAAAAUAACUUCCCAUGUUAUAUUCUGAAUAGAAAGACGCAUUCAAGCUUGCAAGAUGCUGUAGACUGACUCGAUUAUUUUAUGUUUCUAUAUAUUUUGAUAUAUAAAAAAAGCUGUUUCAUAACAAAGAAUUCAAACGUUUACCAUACCCACCCUCUUACUGACCAGUUAAUGAUCUGGCCCACUUUCAGAGACAAGGAAAAUCUGUGACAUCAAUAGCAGUUUUUCUGCUGUUCCAGUCAAACAAACAGAAGCAGACACACGUGUUUAAGAACAACAUUUCUUAAUUUAAAAUUGCUGCAGUAUUUCACAAUGUUUUUGUUGAGGUCUAUGAAACAAAAACUUAAAAUGUGCAAUUUAAAUUAAUUUAGCAAAAUCAGGUGCUAUCUCUGUCUGCCAAUACUCUGCCUCUGUCAAUCCGUAGCAAUGACAGGAAAACAUCCAAACUAAAUGUUGUUGUUUACUGCAGGAACUUAAUCACAUGUAAAUUAAAUUGAGAAAAAAAAAGAGACACUGGCACCUGUCUUUACAACAGAGCCUUAUCCCUCCUACAUGGAGCUGAGAGUUUGGAUGGUGGAAUACUGCUGAGAGAUGACAGUGCUAAAAUUAAACCCCACUGCCUGCUGGAUGAUGAUGUAUAAAUAGACAAGUGGGAAGAAGCGGUGUUCGUUCACAGGCAUCAUUAUCAGCUCUGCACUUAAAGUGUUGCUGAGGGGAAAAACCUCUUGCGCAAUUUUUAUGUAUUUGCGUCGCUUUGUUAUAUUAAUACUAUAAUACUAUAAUAAUACUAUUUAUUUCCAAUACGUCACUGAGAUGCAAAACUCCAUUAGAGUAAUUAUCUGCAUAUACAGCAGUAAAUUGCUUCAUGUGAAGCCUAGUGAACCCAUGGACUACUGACCAAAGUAUUUGUACGAAACAGAAAAACCUGCAGAUCAUUUGUCUUCCACUCUCAGAUCAUGUGACAUGCAGCUUAUAUUUCACUACAGGCAGAGCAAGAGGUGGAACAGGAUAGUCCCUGGGGAGGUUCUCAGGGCGAUGAGGAAUGCAAUAUACCCUCAACACUUCAUGCCUCAAACCUUAUGUUUUUCCUCUGCCUCACUGCACCUCAGUGAAGUAGUCAAAAACGCUUUGCUGUGCCAUCUCCUUCAUCGUUUCUGCUAUCUAUCAUGUAAGUCAAUGUGCCCCUUCCUCUAACAAUUAUACAAGAUAUCCCAUACAAAACAUGGGGAUAGAUUACCAUUUUUCAUACGAUUAACUUUAACAGUUUUGAAUGUUAAUGUACCUCCAUUAUCUCAUUGCAUGUCAGCUAAAUUAGGACCUCUAAUCUAUCAGAGGAUAAUCUGUCAAUGCUUUGUCAUCACCUACCCCCCUCCACCCCUCCUGCAUGUUAUGUCAGUAUGCCUUAAAGUAUACAUGGCUCUACAAAAAUGUGUAUGUAUCACAUAGGCGUUGCAAUACCAACUGACACACUUGACAGCCUAAAAAAAAAAAAAAAAGGGCCACACAACGGCCUCCCUGUUUUGGUUUAAAAGGGAACGAUGCACCUUUAAAAGCAGUUGACAGUCUGGUGACUUGGUAAGCAAAAGUGAACUCAGCUCUGAAGCAGAAAACAGAGCAACUGCGAACAGUAUGGAGAAAUAGAGAGCGAGAAAACAAACAAAUGAAAGAGGGAAAGAAUUUGACAAUGUUGAAGCAGGGAGG